rnacentral:rRNA from 1 species
CCUACGGGUGGCUGCAGUGAGGAAUAUUGGACAAUGGAGGCAACUCUGAUCCAGCCAUGCCGCGUGAAUGAUGAAGGCCCUAGGGUUGUAAAGUUCUUUAAGUUGGGAAAAUAAUGAUGGUACCAACAGAAUAAGCUCCGGCUAACUUCGUGCCAGCAGCCGCGGUAAUACGAAGGGAGCUAGCGUUACUCGGAAUUACUGGGCGUAAAGCGCAUGUAGGCGGAUCUACAAGUCAGGGGUGAAAUCCCGGGGCUCAACCUCGGAAUUGCCUUUGA